CGUGGGAGGCAGUUAGCGAGCGAGCGAGCGAGGCAGCCAUGAGCGGCGGCGGGAUGGAGGUGGAGGUCCGCGUGGUGGGCGGCGCGCGGAGCUGCUUCAUCGCGCUCCCGCUCCACCUCAUCCACGCCCUCGAGCGCACCUCCGCGUCCGGCGACCUCCCGCCCGUCCUCGCGCUCGAACUCCGCGGCCCCGCCGGUGGCCGCUGGUCCCUCGCCUGGUCCGGCGCCGCGUCCCGAUCCCGCGCCAUCGAGGUUGCACAAGAAUUGGCAGACUGCAUUUCACUGCCUGAUGGAACUAUAGCACAGCUGAGCGUAGCUCGCUCUCUGGCCAAAGCUGACUCAGUCAGUAUAGAACCAUACAGUGAGGAUGACUGGGAGAUACUGGAGAGCCGUGCUGAGUUGGCUGAAGAAACAAUCUUGAAGCAGGUCGGCAUCGUUUAUGAGGGUAUGAAAUUCCCCUUGUGGUUGGAUGGCCAUAAUAUUGUGAAGUUUGUUGUGGUGUCAUCUUGCCCAGAGAAGUCAGUUGUUCGACUUGUGCCAGGAACUGAAGUUGCUGUUGCACCCAAAAAACGCAAAGAGCCUUCUCAGGAUGUGAAAAAGCAAAGUACACUGGAGGAACCAGUAAAAACAAAGGCGCUCCUUCGUGUACAACAGGCUGAUAGGAAGCAUAUACAUACGUUCAAAUAUAAAGGUGUUGACAUAGGGGUGGUUCUCAGCUAUGCUGUGCUAAUACACCCUGAUACAGCUACAAGCGUUUCGGUUGGCAAUCUCCAAUUGGUCACUGUUUCACCUAAAUCAUCAAAGAAAGGACUUGCUCAAAAUGGCAAAGAAGUUGCACAAAAGAAGGGAAUUUCAGUAGCUAAAGAAAGAACCCUCGAAGCUGUGGUUUAUAUCUUACUCUCAGACUCUGUUGCCAAAGGACAUGUUAUGCUCCCCUACUCUAUUCGACACUUCAUAAGUGCUGAUGUACACUCAUGGGUAUAUAUUAACACAUACUCAGCUAAUAUCACGAAGGAUGAGCCUUUAGUGACAAUAUCUUCUUUAAGGUUCAAGAUGCAUGUGAAAGGUGCCCAUGGUAACAGCGAAUUAGUCACUCAGGAAGGGGACACUUCGAAGAUAACCAGAAUUUCUCCGGAAAAUGAUGAUUUCUUCCAGGAAGCUCAUUAUGGUGAAAGCAAAAGUCUUCAGGGUGCAGAUAUCGAGAGCAUUUCUGAGUCCGUGUCAAAGCAGAAGUUUUUUCUUAAGCAUUGGCUUAUUGGACAACUUAAGGAAAUGUGUUUACAUGCUAGCCAUACCGAGAUAAGUUCAAUAGUUUUACCAGCCAAUGUUGUGCUCCAUUUUGAGGUGGCACAUAAAAAACCAAACAGAGGAGUUGAAUUACUAUACCUGCUCACAUUUACUUCUGAAAACUCUAGUUUUGACAAUACACAACUCAAGGUUGAGACUGCUUGGAGCGCUCCAAUCGGCAAUCCAGAAAAUGUGGAACUGCAUUUCAGGAAGUUGGAGUUAGGAGAGCCUGUAUCUUUUGGUUCCAUAAUGGAUAGUAGUGCCACUAAUGGUUUCAAGUUGACACGAUCUUCUUUAGGAUGGAUGGAGACUGCAAUGUCAGAUGUGACAAAAAGAUUAUCUGUGCUGUUAUCGUUAACUAGCCUGAGGUUAUUUAACAGACUAAAGUUCCCCUUUCCUGGACAUGUUCUUGUCUAUGGGCCUCGAGGUUCUGGGAAAACUGCUUUGACCAGGGCAUCUGCAAAAUACUUUGAAGAUCAUAAAGAGAUCUUGGCACACGUAAUAUACAGAGAUUGUUCCAAACUUGCCCUAGGCAAGGCUAAGGAGACGAGGCAAGCAAUUGAGGACAGCAUUUCUGAAGCGCUGCUUCAUUCACCUUCGAUCAUCAUAUUUGAUGAUCUGGACAGUGUGAUUUCGGUCUCUUCAGAUCCUCAAGUUUCUCAAUCGUCCAGUUCUUCUGAUUCACUAGUAAGGUAUUUGGCUGACAUUAUGGAUGACUACAGGGAUAAGACUCGAAGUACAUGUGGAUAUGGACCUAUUGCAUUUAUGGCUUCAGUUCAAUCACUUCAGAGUCUUCCUCAAGACUUAACCUCUUCUGGUAGAUUUGAUUUCCACAUUGAGCUUCCUGCUCUUGCAGUCCCUCAGCGCAAUGCACUUUUGAAACAUCAAGUUGAGGAGCAUGAGUUGCAGUGUUCUGAGGAAGUUCUGUCUGAGAUAGCAUCAAAAUGUGAAGGUUAUGAUGCAUAUGACUUGGAAAUUUUGGUUGAUAGGGCUGUGCACGCUGCUGCUUCUCGGUUUGUUCUGCCUUCUAAUGCCUCUCCGAACUCUGUGAAACCAACUUUGGUGAUGGAAGAUUUCUCAAAGGCAAUGCACGGCUUCCUUCCUGUCGCAAUGCGUGAUCUUAGAAAAUAUGCUCCUGAUGAUAAAGAUGGUGGCUGGGAAGAUGUUGGAGGGCUAAAUGAAGCAGUAACUAUUAUUAAAGAGACCCUUGAAUUGCCAUCCAAAUACCCAAAUAUAUUUACCAGGGCACCUGUACGGUUGCGAUCAAACAUUCUCCUGUAUGGACCACCUGGAUGUGGCAAAACUCACAUUGUGAGAGCUGCAGCCGCAGCUUGUUCUUUGUGAUUCAUUUCAGUCAAGGGCCCAGAGCUAUUGAAUAAGUACAUCGGUUCAUCUGAGCAAUCUGUUCGUGACUUUUUUGCAAAGGCAGCUGCAGCAGCACCUUGCCUGCUAUUCUUUGAUGAAUUUGACUCCAUUGCACCCCAGCGAGGAACCCAUAGUGCUGGAGUUUCUGAUCGUGUUGUUAAUCAGUUCUUGACAGAACUAGAUGGUGUGGAAACCUUGACUGGAGUAUUUGUAUUUGCAGCUACGAGCAAGCCACAACUAAUUGAUGCUGCGCUCUUGCGGCCAGGAAGGUUUGAUCGUCUAGUCUUUUGUGAUUUUCCUCGAUGGGAUGAACGUUUGGAAAUUCUGAAGGUGCAUUCUAGGACGGUUUCACUGGCAAGUGAUGCCAGUCUGGAAGAUGUUGCUUCUCUGACCAAAGGAUUUACUGGUGCUGAUCUUGCUGCUAUUCUAACGGAUGCUGGGUUGGCAGCAGUUCAUGAACUUUUGGACAACCAAGGGAACGGGAUCCCAGAAAGAGAACCAUGCAUCAGCAAAGAACUUCUCAUGUCUGUCACUAGGAAGGCUAGACCUUCUACACCUGCAGACGAGAAGAGGCGGUAUGAUAGGGAGUUUGGUGAAUUUGUGUCAUCCAGGAAGUCUAUUUCCACAAAGGCAAGAGAGUCGAAAGGCAAAAAAGUCACACUAGCUUGAGUCUCUCCAACACAUCAGCAAGUUGCGAAAUCGAUCAGAAGAUUGCUAAGCACCAUGGUUGUGAAGCAGGAGCUUUGUGCUUAACUUUCCUCCAAAAGAAACAACAUAUACGAAGACAACUAACCAAGGUUCACUUGUGUAGUUGUGUUGUAUGCUGAGGAGGACAGCCAUUGAAGGAAUCCAUGGCCGAAGGUGCUCCGACCAGAUGUUGAUAGCAUUGUCACAAUUUUUUCGACGACGGGGUAUAGUAUAUAGUAAAUAGAAAUGCUAACAGAAAACAUACAUGUUAAUCCUUGGUCGUCUGUAAAGGAUGCUGUGAUAUGGAGCCUCGGAAAUGUUGUUUCUGCACGGGUGGAGCUGAUUGAUUCAGAAAUUCAGCUGUUCUUUGCGCGCCGAAUUGGCGAUUGGUCUAGUGACAUGUGCUCAGGCCUCAGGGUGGGGCUUUUACCAUGGCCCUCUCUAGCCACGGGACAAGGAAGGAUUUGCAAGGGUUGAGAGUUGAUUGAGGGGAUAAGUGGGUGCCACCACUUAGCUCUGCUGAAUAAGCACCAGUUUUGUUGACAUUGUAAUGAUUUUUUUUAAUAGCAGCACUGGUUGGUGAGUGGCCUUUUCUGUU